rnacentral:rRNA from 1 species
AACAGGAUUAGAUACCCUGGUAGUCCACGCCCUAAACGAUGUCUACUAGUUGUCGGGUUUUAAUUAACUUGGUAACGCAGCUAACGCGUGAAGUAGACCGCCUGGGGAGUACGGUCGCAAGAUUAAAACUCAAAGGAAUUGACGGGGACCCGCACAAGCGGUGGAUGAUGUGGAUUAAUUCGAUGCAACGCGAAGAACCUUACCUACCCUUGACAUGUACGGAAGACCGAAGAGAUUUGGUUGUGCUCGAAAGAGAACCGUAACACAGGUGCUGCAUGGCUGUCGUCAGCUCGUGUCGUGAGAUGUUGGGUUAAGUCCCGCAACGAGCGCAACCCUUGUCAUUAGUUGCUACAUUUAGUUGAGCACUCUAAUGAGACUGCCGGUGACAAACCGGAGGAAGGUGGGGAUGACGUCAAGUCCUCAUGGCCCUUAUGGGUAGGGCUUCACACGUCAUACAAUGGUACAUACAGAGGGCCGCCAACCCGCGAGGGGGAGCUAAUCCCAGAAAGUGUAUCGUAGUCCGGAUCGCAGUCUGCAACUCGACUGCGUGAAGUUGGAAUCGCUAGUAAUCGCGGAUCAGCAUGUCGCGGUGAAUACGUUCCCGGGUCUUGUACACACCGCCCGUCACACCAUGGGAGCGGGUUUUACCAGAAGUAGGUAGCUUAACCGCAAGGAGGGCGCUUACCACGGUAGGAUUCGUGACUGGGGUGAAGUCGUAACAAGGUAACC